rnacentral:rRNA from 1 species
AGCCAGGUCGGUUUCUAUCCUCAAUUUUUUUAUAGUUUUUAGUACGAAAGGACCAUUAUUAUAAAAAAUUUUUUUGUAUUGAAUUUUAUUAA